CCUACGGGUGGCAGCAGUGAGGAAUAUUGGUCAAUGGACGCAAGUCUGAACCAGCCAAGUCGCGUGCAGGAAGACGGCUCUAUGAGUUGUAAACUUCUUUUGUACGAGGGUAAACGCCGAUACGCGUAUCUUUCUGAAAGUAUCCUACGAAUAAGGAUCGGCUAACUCCGUGCCAGCAGCCGCGGUAAUACGGAGGAUUCAAGCGUUAUCCGGAUUUAUUGGGUUUAAAGGGUGCGUAGGCGGACGGUUAAGUUAGAGGUGAAAUUCUGAGGCUCAACCUCGUAAUUGCAUCUGAUACUGUUAGGCUAGAGAGUAGUAGAGGUAGGCGGAAGGUAUGGUGUAGCGGUGAAAUGCUUAGAGAUC
rnacentral:rRNA from 1 species